rnacentral:rRNA from 1 species
GACGAACGCUGGCGGCGUGCUUAACACAUGCAAGUCGAACGGAAAGGCCCUGCUUUUGUGGGGUUCUCGAUUGGCGAACGCGUGAGUAACACGUGAGUAACCUGCCCUUGACUUUGUGAUAACUUCAGGAAACUGGGGCUAUUACCGGAUAGGAGCUCCUGCUGCAUGGUGGGGGUUGGAAAGUUUCGGCGGUUGGGGAUGUACUCGCGGCUUAUCAGCUUGUUGGUGGGGUAGUUGCUUACCAAGGCUUUGACGGGUAGCCGGCCUGAGAGGGGGACCGGCGACAUUGGGACUGAGAGACGGCCCAGACUGGUAUGGGAGGCAGCAGUGGGGAAUAUUGCACAAUGGGCGGAAGCCUGAUGCAGCAACGCCGCGUGCGGGAUGCCGGCCUUCGGGUUAAAAACCGCUUUCGACUGAGACGAAGCGUGAGUGACGGUAAUGGGUAAAGAAGCAACGGCUAACUACGUG